GUCUUCGUCAUUUCCCUCAUUGCAGGGACAAAAUACCUGAUGUCCACAAUUUAAGGGAGGAGAGGUUUAUUUUGGUUGACUUUUCUGUCCAUUGUUGACUGGCUCCAAGACAGGAGAACAUGGUCUGGGGGAGGAGAGCUUCUCAAGGCACGGCGACCAGGAAGCAGAGAGCGAGGGGAGGUAAACGCUUCCCUGUCAGGGCUGCAGUGACCCCUCUUCCUGUGGAGACCAAACUGACUCCAUUUUGCUGACUCUAUUUUGCGAUCAGGUCACUGCCCAGUUACUGGAAAAGCCCCAACAUGUUCUUUUACCCAGUUCUCAGAAAAACCCAUGACUGUUCCUGUAAGUUGUCACCAGAGGCUCUCUUUCGUUAAUCUUACAAAAGCGUGUGGUUAGGAUAAGGAGGGACAUCUGGCCUAGGCCAAUCAAGCAUUGAGAAAACACACUUUCAAAACGCUAACCAAUGAAGCAUUGACCCGUUUAGAAAGCCCCUAGUUCUGCUUCUCUGCUAAUAAAAAGGCUGUUUGAAACCGGGCUCGGGGCUCUCGUUUCUGAACCGCUGUGUGGGUGAGAUCCGAGGGUCCAGUCUCCAGCUUACUCCUCGUGUGAUUGCAUCGGGCUCGACUCCUUGGUGGUCUUCGGGGACAUCGCGAUCGGGGCACAACAUUCCCACCACACCCCACCUCCUAAAGUUUUGCAAGCUUAUUUCCAUGGGAAAGUUUGUUACUUUUAUAUUCCUGCAUCUUACACAUAAAACCUUUUCCACACGGCCCGUGUCCUGAAGAACUCUGGUAUUUUAUCUAAAUUGCUCAGAAUCAGAAUUUCUAUUUGGAGAGGCUCUCCACAGGAUACUCCAGCUGCCUCAUCCUUGGCCCUGUGACAGUGUCUCCCGGGGCAACACCUUGCUGUUUGAUGACGAGACACAUGACACACAGGCUUGGCACCAGAAAACCAAACCAAACACACUCCAGGAAUUACUGUGUCCGGAUGAGAAUGCCCAGCCUCCAGGGCCAGCUGUGAUAAAAUCUGAGAAAAUGCGGAGCUUUAAGGACUUUGCCUAGGAGAGAACAAUGGGUGGAUUUUUCCGGGGCAGGAUGUGUGGGUUGAAUGACUUUUCAUUUUAUCUGAAUUUCCUGAAUAUGUCAGAAGCAG
rnacentral:lncRNA from 1 species